AACGCACCUUGCGCCCUUUGGUAUUCCGAAGGGCAUGCCUGUUUGAGUGUCAUUAAAUUCUCAACCCAAAAAGCUUUUACGAGCUCUUUUGUGGCUUGGAUGUGGGGGUUUUUGCUGGCUUCCUUCAGUGGAUGGUCUGCUCCCCUUAAAUGCAUUAGUGGGAUCUCUUGUGGACCGUCACUUGGUGUGAUAAUUAUCUAUGCCAGUUGACUUUGAAGCAAAACUUAUGGGAACCCGCUCAUAACCGUCUUCGGACAACUUAUUGACAUUUUGACCUCAAAUCAGGUAGGACUACCCGCUGAACUUAA
rnacentral:ncRNA from 4 species